UACGUAGGGGGCAAGCGUUGUCCGGAUUUAUUGGGCGUAAAGAGCGUGUAGGCGGCCUUACAGGUCAGCUGUGAAAACUCGAGGCUCAACCUCGAGACGUCGGUUGAAACCGUAUGGCUAGAGUCCGGAAGAGGAGAGUGGAAUUCCCGGUGUAGCGGUGAAAUGCGCAGAUAUCGGGAAGAACACCCGUGGCGAAGGCGGCUCUCUGGGACGGUACUGACGCUGAGACGCGAAAGCGUGGGGGAGCGAACAGGG
rnacentral:rRNA from 1 species